rnacentral:sRNA from 1 species
AGCGUACGUUUUGAACCUUGUUUGAGGCGAACUCCAGAACGCGUCGUUCCGAACCAGCCAGCCUCACAUGGGCUCUGAU